GAGAGGGAGAGGGGCACAGAUAGCUAGCUAGCUUGCUAGCUCGAUAGACUUGGUUGUAGAAACGGCUGAAAGCGGUUAUGUAGCAGUUGUAGAAUUUGUUUUCAUGAAGCCUGUACUGGAGGUGGCAUAUACAUAACGUUUAGAAACAAUAUAUCGCAACGGAGUCACAAUUCCCCUGACAAGAAUGGGGUCUGCGUCCAUAAGGCUAAGGUAAAGUGACCUUUAUUUGUUUCGCUCAUGGCAAAUUUGAUGAAUUAUCAAGAAAGCAACGCCGCUAUGUUGAUGUUGGAGACACAGCAGCGCGCAAUCGGGACAAAAACAACGACAGCGACAGCCAACGGCGACACCUCUGCCGGGGAACCCCCCUCGCCUUUAAUUAAAAUCGACGGCGCUCGGGUCCACCAACACUUGCCGCCCCCUUAUCAUCAAGCUCUGCAGUCGAAGGAGCAUCAGCAGCAACACCACUGCCAGGCGCAGCAUUUUCCGGCGGAGAAUGUCCAGGAAACGCCGGUGAGAAAAAUCCCCUCCUCAUGCAUUAACGUUGUACACCAAAACGCUGCUGCUAGUCAAGCACUUGCUGCCUCAACAACCGCUACCACUACGUUAGCAGCUGCAGCUAGUGCUAGUUCCGACGUGGUGGAUGACAUACGUAAAUGUGGCUACCUUAGGAAACAGAAACACGGCCACAAAAGGUUUUUCGUGUUGCGAGGGCCAAGUCAUCUGGGCCCCAGUCGAUUGGAAUACUAUGACAGCGAGAAGAAAUUUCGAAAUAGCCUCCGUUCUGCUGCUGCUGCUGCUGCUGCUGCUACUGCUGCUACUACCACUUCUCCCAAGCGGGUAAUUUAUCUUUACCAGUGCUUCACUGUAAACAAAAGGGCGGAUUCUAAGAACAAAUACCUCAUUGCCCUGUACACUAAAGAUGAGUAUUUUGCCAUAGUGGCCGAGAAUGAGCAGGAGCAGGAUGACUGGUACCUGGCUGUAAGUGACCUGAUGAAUGAGGGUAAGAAAAGCCACCUGGAUGCAGACGAGGUGGACGAUGGCUACGGGACUGUCACUCCUGGCACCGUAUUCAAAGAGGUGUGGCAGGUGAAUGUGAAGCCUAAAGGGCUAGGACAGACAAAGAAUCUGACAGGUGUUUACCGACUGUGCCUGUCCACCAAGACCAUCCACUUGGUGAAACUAAACUCCGAAACCCCCUGUGUGAAUCUGCAACUGAUGAACAUUCGGCGCUGUGGUCACUCUGAGAGCUUCUUCUUCAUCGAAGUGGGUCGCUCCUCCUCCAUUGGACCUGGAGAGAUCUGGAUGCAAGUGGAUGACUCUGUAGUGGCUCAGAACAUGCACGAGACAAUCUUGGAGACCAUGAAAGCACUGAAAGCCUUUACCGAGUUUAGGCCGAGAAGUAAAAGCCAGUCGUCGGGGUCAAAUCCCAUGGCUUUCAUCACCACCCGUCGCCACCUGGGCAAUCUGCCCCCCAGCCAAACAGGGCUACAGCGUCGAUCCAGAACGGAGAGCGUGGUGGGCACUCCGCCCACUAGCAAGAGCAGUGGCAUGAGCGGUUAUCGCUUCCGCACGUCGAGUGAAGGCGAGGGCACAAUGAACAGGCCGUUUCGUUCAGUGACAGGUAGUUUAGUCCACCUCAGCGCAGCUCGCAUCAACCUAGGCCGGCAGGAGGGAGGUGGCCGCUAUGUGCGGGCUCUGCCAGGCUCCACCUACCACACACGCUCUGCCUCACUCCCCGUCUCUCACUUCCCCUCCACCACCAGCCCAGUAAGUGUUUCCAGCAGCAGUGGCCAUGGAUCAGCGUCUGACACGCUAACACGGCCCUCCAGUGCCUCCAUCUGUGGCUCUCCCAGCGACGGUGGCUUUAACUCUUCUGAUGAGUACGGCUCCAGCCCUGGUGACUUCCGCUACUUCCGGGUGAGGAGCAACACUCCUGACUCCCUGGGUAACACACCGCCUAUCCGUGAAGAGAACUGCCUGAACGACUACAUGGCUAUGGGCAGAUAUCGGGAGGUGAUGAUCUGUGGGGCUGAGACCUUGCAGGAUGAGAGUGCAGAUGAAGAGAGGGCCAUCCGCAGAAGAACGCACUCCUCCUCCAGGCCAACAGGUGGCAGUAACGGAGUCACCAUGUACCAGAAAAUGACCCAGACCACCUCCUCGCUGGAUGAGUCCAUGCCAGAGGCCAGCCCUCUGGGCAGCAAUGGACACCUGACUUGCCAAGUCAAGCCCCCUUCGCCCCAUUCUAACGAGCACAGGAAGCCCUCCAAGGACGAUGGCUAUAUGCCCAUGAUGCCUGGUGUGGUACCGUCUCGUGAUGGAGAUUAUAUGCCUAUGCAACCCAGUGCACACCUCACUGCAUCUCAGCCAGGCCUGGGUGCUGCAACACAACAAGUGGAUUCCCAGGGUUACAUGAUGAUGCUCCCUCGUGGUGGCUCCUCCCCAUCGCAGGCUAGCCCUCGACAUAGCAGUGACCACAGACAGAACGGUGAGUACAUGGACAUGUCUCAAAGCUGUGCCACUGUCCUUCAGAAGCCCUCAAAUGAAAGUUAUUAUCUAGAGACGACGCCUGAGACCCCCAAGUCAUACAGCCCUUACUUCUCACUCCCGCGGUCUUACAAAGCUCCUCUCCGAGAGAAACGCGAGCACAGCGAGUAUGUGCCCAUGAGUUCCCCCGUUAAGCCUGCCUACACUUCCACUGAAUGCAGCAGGAAUUCUGCCAGUAACCCUCCUGCCCAUCUGGGCCCGUCUGAGGGAUGCGGUGAGCUGCAGCACGUGGACCGGCUCGCAGUGCGUCCCACUCGGCUUUCUCUGGGCCGGCACAACUUUCACGGUUCCCCCUCGGUGAGCGAAGCAGCAGAGCCCGCGUCGAGCCCGGGCGAAUACAUCAACAUUGAAUUUGGGGACCGCCACGUCUACACGCCCUCCUCCCUGUCAGCUGAGGGCUCCCCCUCUUCGCUGGGCUCCAGCAGUGAGCAACGCCGCUCUCCUCUGCAUGAUGAGUAUAUAGGCAUGGAUUUUGACAAAGGUCACCUGUCGAAGGGUCACUCUCCUCGGCCCUCACUCGUUGCCCCGUGGAACCCCCCUAGCUACAUCCGGCCCCUGGCGUCAGCCUCUACCUUGGGUGGACGGAUGGACACAGAAAUGGGCUUUGGCCUUGGGGCAGAGGUGAAAAGCCCAACCGCGAUGCUGCAGCACCUGUGUGUCAUGGAGAAGCACUACCCCUCCCAACCCCCUCCCAGCCCCCCAGUGGAACCUCGGGUGAUCCGGGCUGACCCCCAGGGCAGGCGGAGACAUAGUUCUGAGACUUUCUCCUCCUCUCCACCCAGCAACGGCAACCCUGCGACACCCACCAGCCCCCACCUAAUGGAAGGCGCCAAGUGGCAAAGCUCAACCUCCUUUGACAGCGUCUGGCUGCACAUGGAUGACACUGCCUCUUCCAGCACUGCAGCUACGCCUGUUCCCACUGAUGUAGGCUGCAGUCCUGCUGGACAGACGUGCCAAAAUGGCUCCGCUGGACACCAGAAUGGCCUCAACUACAUUGCUCUCGACUUGAGGGAGGACCCCCGUGCCAUUGCCCCUUCACCCCCCUCUCCUCUCCCUCACCCAGAGAACGGGGCCUAUGCUAGCAUAGACUUCGCCAAGUCGGAAGGACUGACCGCUGCCUCACAAGAUAUGGAUUCAUAGUGCUGUUCAUGUGGAUGAAAACAGGCACAAGGAUGUCCAGGUUGCAGUCUGCAAGGUCACCAUGUCAGAGGAAUUAAAAAGUGCAAGAAAUCAUCGGGAACCUGCUAUCGUAACAUAACAAGCUAUGAAGUCGUGCUGUUGGAAGAACUCCAAGAUCAGCUGGCUUUGAUGAUUGGCAGCUUUGUGAUGGUCAGCUCUGUUGGGCUGAAACAACGAAAGCAGCAGUGCUCCUCACUACCGUUUUUCCCUGGAGAACCUAAAACCUCCAGUUUGGCAGAGUGGAGAACCUGGGCCUUGGGGCCACCAAAUCAUCAGUCUGCUGUUGCAGAAUGGAUUGUGCCCUAAGCUGACUGAAGCGGGAGAAUCCUGAGACGGGGGUGCGUGGCGAAUGGACAGCGCUCCGCGGUGGAGCACCCCCACCCAACUACAGACGGGCCCGAGUAACACCCCCUUCAGAAACGAGACAACUACGCUUUUAUUUUCUAUCUUUUCGAAGCAGCAGGUUGGAGCUGCGUUAAUUGUACGAAUGGUACUUUUUUAAAGUGAAUCUUUGAUUAGAGCUUCUGUGUGGCCUAGCUGAGGCUGUUUUUUAUUAUUAAUUUGUAUGAUUCUUUUCCUAACCAGCCCAAAGGGGGAGGUAAACACUGAACUGAAACACAAGGCUGGCUGGGACAGGUCUUUGAGCUGCAGUUUACAAGCAUUACUUUCACAAUCGACAUUUUCAUAUUUAUUGCCACUUAGGUUUCAGGUACAUAAAUUAAUUUUGUGUUUGUAUUACUCAGAAGUACGGUACUGAUUAUUAUGAUUAAUAUUAAUAUUUUUAAUUUCUUUGGUACUUGGUAGGGAGUUUUCUGUAGGGCAGUUCCGGUACACACACACACACACACACACACACACACAUUAUCAGCACGGUUCCAGGUUGACGGGAUGACGUGAUGGAGCUCCGGUAACCCAACGCCAGGCCCCAGGUGCAGCAUGCUGCGCAUUCCUGCCCUGUCACACGGGCGGUGCUGGACCCCGGUGACGGCCUUCCUCCCCUCUCUUACGUACACCACGCUCCUCUGUACACUUGACAAAUGAGCGCGGUCUAUUCCUGGACUUAGAAUCCACCCAAAUCAUCCAAAUGAAGGCUGCACAGCACAUCCAUAGAGAACCAGUAUUGGCCAGCAAACGAAUAAAGAGAAUUGGAUAAAUAAAUAAGUGCAUGGCAUGUGCAGUAUGGCUGGACGUUUUGGCUGUAAGCCUCCAGGAGAAUCUUAUAUUCUCAUAAAGAAAACAUGGCUGCAAAUUUCAUUCAUUUUUUGGUGAUUCACUAGCAGAGUCUUUAAAUUGAAAUUUGUUUUCAGUAUUAUAGUUUAUAUUCUUUUACAUUUUGGUUGAUUGUGGUUUUUUGACCUAAGAAAUAUAUUUAACUGAGAGAACUGAACAUCCACCUGAAUCGUUUUCUUGAAUUUGUUAGGUGCAAGAAUAUGGGACAAAAUUCCAAAAGCAUAAUUUGUUUUAUAUCUGCAUUAGCUUUAAGAUAUCAUUUGUAGUCGUUGCAGAGGAAAUUUUGUGAUUCUGAAGUGAUUUAAAUCGUUGAAUAAUUUUCCCCUCAUUAGAAUUCCUUCUGGCUGUUUGGUCAGAAUACCCCCAAAUUUGCCUCUCCCUUGUUCACCAGCGCAAUACAGAAUACACAGCAUACACUUUGUUUUCAUUUGAAUGCUGUUAUACAAGAUGUAUUAAUUAGACAUGGCAGGGCCAUCUCUUCAUGCAUUAUUAUAGUGUAGAUUUUAUUUGUAUUGGUUGAUAUUAUUACUAUUAUUAUUAUUAUUAUUACCAGUAAAAAUGUGGCUUCUAAGAAAUGAAUCACUCUUGGGAAGAUUAACUAACCAAGUGACUUGGAUGUGCUAAGUUGGGUGUCACACUAUUACCCGGUUACUAGUACCUGAAAAGCCACCCAUGGGUCCUCAUCAAUAUGCUUAUUUCAACACUCAUACGGAUUAUUUCGUGUCCAACACCAUUACAUUUCUUCACACAAAGUUCAUUUCACAUCAGGUCAUUGAGCAAGUUUGAAAAAAUAUAUAUAUAUAUUCAAAUUAGAAAAAUACGUGGGGAGUGGACGGCAACUUGUUUCUGAUGAUUGCUGUGCAAAAGCAGUUGGGUUUUUCAGUAUUUUAUACAAAUGGUGCCAUGCUUUUAUUUUCUUCUGUAUAAGGCUGAAAGCAGUGCUGUUUAUGCAGCGUGUCCAGAGGGUACUGUUGUGCAUUUUGCUGUGUAGUCUUUGUCCGUCUUUUUAGAGUUAACAUGCCGUAGAGACAUUCGCCAGAGGGAGACGUUACUUUUUUAUCAUCUGCUUGAAUACAGGGGUUUUGCCCGCAAGGUACACUACCCGAUCCAGUUCAUUCUAAUUUGACAGAACCAAAUGUGAACAAAUGACAAAGUUUUAUGCUUGUAAGAAUAUUUAUUUUUGUGGUUCACAGUGCUUGUUCACUUUUGUAUUGACAAUGAUUAUAAUAAAUUGGUACUGAAAGUGGAGUAUUUAGACAAAUAGUUUACUGUGAAUACCAUCCCCCUCAUUUUAAUAUCCGCAUACUGCAUCACAAACCAAGGUCUUGGGAACAGCAAAAAUGAACAGCAAUCGCGAUUGCCUUUGAGCAAUACAAUAAUUAAAUGGCUGGUCCAUUUCUUUUGUCAUAAUUAACAAAACAUUUUUCUUUUUUGAGACAAAACAAAAUGAAAAAUGCUUAGUGUUUUGACAAAAAAAUACAGCCUAAAUUAAUUGUUUAUUGGACAUUGCUAUAGUUUUUCGUACAACUUUGUGAUUGCAAACCAGGCACACAGUUGCAAAGUGACUUAGUAUACAUUUGCAAUGGACUCUAAAGUUUUGGGGGAUGAAGGGUUCAUGAUCAGUUUAAUCAGUUUUCAUUUUAGUGACAUUCUGCCUUGGCAAUUUGAAUAUCUAACAUCCUGUUGCAGUUUAUUGGUUUUGCCAUAAGUAUUUUCAAGUAAUACCCCCAUUCACUGAAUGGUAACUAAAUAAUUAUAACCUGCCGAGGCUUACUGGUACUGCAUAAAUAUGCAACUUGUUUUUAUUUUCAAACUAGUUUACAGAGCGGAAAUCUUAGUUUGGUUUUGGGUUGGAUUGGUGUAACCUUUGAAUAUUGGGCCAUUUCAAAUGGAGAAUGAGAGGGUGGGCAAAAUGAGUUCUCUGAAACAAUGUAGACUUUUGGAGUUUUAUAAACAUCCGCCUACUGUUUUGUAACUAUUAAACUUUAUUUGCUGCUGUGUAGUACAACAAAAAAAUUGAUGCUGAUAAUGG